rnacentral:rRNA from 1 species
GGGGGAAUAUUGGACAAUGGGCGCAAGCCUGAUCCAGCCAUGCCGCGUGAGGGAUGAAGGCCCUAGGGUUGUAAAGCUCUUUCACCGGUGAAGAUAAUGACGGUAACCGGAGAAGAAGCCCCGGCUAACUUCGUGCCAGCAGCCGCGGUAAUACGAAGGGGGCUAGCGUUGUUCGGAUUUACUGGGCGUAAAGCGCACGUAGGCGGACUAUUAAGUCAGGGGUGAAAUCCCGGGGCUGAACCCCGGAACUGCCUUUGAUACUGGUCGUCUUGCGUUCGAGCGAGGUGAGUGGAAUUCCGCGUGUCGAGGUGAAAUUCGUAGAUAUUCGGAGGAACACCAGUGGCGACGGCGGCUCACUGGCUCGAUACUGACGCUGAGGUGCGACAGCGUGGGGAGCAAACAGG